AUUGAACGCUGGCGGCAGGCCUAACACAUGCAAGUCGAGCGGAUGAAGGGAGCUUGCUCCUGGAUUCAGCGGCGGACUGGUGAGUAAUGCCUAGGAAUCUGCCUGGUAGUGGGUGAUAACGUCCGGAAACGGGCGCUAAUACCGCAUACGUCCUGAGGGAGAAAGUGGGGGAUCUUCGGACCUCACGCUAUCAGAUGAGCCUAGGUCGGAUUAGCUAGUUGGUGGGGUAAAGGCCUACCAAGGCGACGAUCCGUAACUGGUCUGAGAGGAUGAUCAGUCACACUGGAACUGAGACACGGUCCAGACUCCUACGGGAGGCAGCAGUGGGGAAUAUUGGACAAUGGGCGAAAGCCUGAUCCAGCCAUGCCGCGUGUGUGAAGAAGGUCUUCGGAUUGUAAAGCACUUUAAGUUGGGAGGAAGGGCAGUAAGUUAAUACCUUGCUGUUUUGACGUUACCAACAGAAUAAGCACCGGCUAACUUCGUG
rnacentral:rRNA from 1 species